CUGGGGCACAGAGACAUGCACACAAGGGGAGGACCACAUGAGGAUGAAGGCAGAGCUGGAGUCACACUUCCACAAGCCAAGGAAAGCUGAAGUGGGCUGGAAAAACAAGAGCUUAACAAGAGACAUGGGAAACGAAUACAGGAACCAAGCUUCACACCGGAGAUAAAUUAAGUUUAAGAUGGAAGGGGAAAGAUUAAAGUGACAGAAAAUAGACCAGGAUGGCCUCCAUCUUUCCUCCCUCCCAUUCUCCGUGACUCCCUGAGGCUAACUCCCCCUACAAACUGGAAGGUGGGGGCUCAGCCCUGGCAGUGGUGAUUCAACUAAGGAUUGAAAACAAAACUGAUGCAAUCCUCAGCAAAGGGGAGAAAAACUACAGUUCAAGGCUACCCCAGGCCAAAAAAUAAAAAUGUUAACAAGACCCUGUCUCAAACAAGUGAGUCAUGGUGGUACACAUGAGUAACCCCAGCUAGCAGGAAACAGAGGCAGGAGGACCAUAGUCUGAAGUUGGUACACAAUCCUAUCUGAAGAAUAAAUUAAGUAAACAUAAAAGAUCAGGCAUAUGGCUCAUGUG